rnacentral:misc_RNA from 1 species
AAGUCGUAACAAGGUUUCCGUAGGUGAACCUGCGGAAGGAUCAUUAUAGUAUCUAGCCGAAGCCGUGAAUAACGUAUGGCCAAAAAAGCCAACGCCGGCCGGCAGUUUACGAUCAUCCACCAUGUGCACUCAUCGAACCAUGCUUUGGCAGACUUCUCACUUUCAGGUGAGAUUGAACUUGCUCUUCUUUCUCUCUCCCAGCCGCCCUCCUCUCUCGCAAGGGAGAGGUUGGUGUGUGAGGGGGAGAGCUGGGCGAGGGGUCUGCCAGAGUCUUCUUUGUUCAACUCAUAGCCUGAUCUCCUGACUGAACUACACAUAAUUUUGUAAACAAAAUACAACUUUCAACAACGGAUCUCUUGGCUCUC